CACGUAGGGGGCAAGCGUUGUCCGGAUUUAUUGGGCGUAAAGAGCUCGUAGGCGGUUCGGUAAGUCGGGUGUGAAAACUCAGGGCUCAACCCUGAGACGCCACUCGAUACUGCUGUGACUAGAGUCCGGUAGGGGAGCAUGGAAUUCCUGGUGUAGCGGUGAAAUGCGCAGAUAUCAGGAGGAACACCAGUGGCGAAGGCGGUGCUCUGGGCCGGAACUGACGCUGAGGAGCGAAAGCGUGGGUAGCAAACAGG
rnacentral:rRNA from 1 species